rnacentral:rRNA from 1 species
AGACUGCUUUGAACAUCGACCUCUUGAACGCACAUUGCGGCCGUAGGCUUGCCUACGGCCACGUCUGGCCGAGGGUCGGCU